rnacentral:rRNA from 1 species
AUUGAACGCUGGCGGAAUGCUUUACACAUGCAAGUCGAGCGGCAGCGCGGCCUUCGGGCUGGCGGCGAGCGGCGAACGGGUGAGUAAUGCAUCGGAACAUGCCCAGUCGUGGGGGAUAACACUUCGAAAGAAGUGCUAAUACCGCAUACGUCCUGAGGGGGAAAGCGGGGGAUCGCAAGACCUCGCGCGAUUGGAGUGGCCGAUGUCAGAUUAGCUAGUUGGUGGGGUAAAGGCCUACCAAGGCGACGAUCUGUAGCUGGUCUGAGAGGAUGAUCAGCCACACCGGUACUGAGAAACGGCCCAGAAGCCUACGGGAGGCAGCAGUGGGGAAUAUUGGACGAUGGGGGCAACCCUGAUCCAGCCAUUCCGCGUGAGUGAAGAAGGACGUCGGGUGGUAAAGCACUUUCGGCGGGAACGAAAAGAUGGGGGCUAACAUAGUCCUCUGCUGACGGUACCAGAAGAAGAAGCACCGGCUAACUACGUG